rnacentral:rRNA from 1 species
UACGUAGGGUGCAAGCGUUGUCCGGAAUUAUUGGGCGUAAAGAGCUCGUAGGCGGUUUGUCGCGUCUGCUGUGAAAACUCAGGGCUUAACCCUGAGCCUGCAGUGGGUACGGGCAGACUAGAGUGUGGUAGGGGAGAUCGGAAUUCCUGGUGUAGCGGUGGAAUGCGCAGAUAUCAGGAGGAACGGCCGGCGGCGAAAGCGGCGCACUGGACCUUUCUGACGCUGAGGCGCGAAAGCUAGGGGAGCAAACGGGG